rnacentral:lncRNA from 1 species
UCGUUGCUAAAGUCAGUGUUGUAAUGGUGAAUCGAGAUUUUUUAAUGAAGUGGGUUUGAUUACUCUUGACUGUUUUGUGAAAUCGAGUUACGUCUGUGAUUGAAGGAUUAAAAGGAUGUCUGUAGGAUUGAGUAUGCGGAGUGAAUGAAAUUUAUUGGGUUAAUCUAACAAGACAGUCAGUGGAUACAAGAUCGUAAGUACAAAGCGGUAUCGCAGAUUAGCAAAUUGGAUUGUUUGGGACUCUUUAACGUCUACAGACCUAUCGACUGGGGCAAAAAAGGACUUCGACAAGCCGUCGAAGGGCAUCCGUAUAGAUUUACGGUGUAUUCUUGUAGUCGUUUAUAUUCCAGCAGUCAAAAAUUGAUAGACUGCUUGACUAUU